rnacentral:rRNA from 1 species
GCUAGUAAUCGCGCAUCAGCCAUGGCGCGGUGAAUACUUCCCGGGCCUUGUACACACCGCCCGUCAAGCCAUGGGAGCCGGGGGUGCUUGAAGUGCGUCGCCGCAAGGCGCGCCCUAGAGCAAAACCGGUGACUGGGGCUAAGUCGUAACAAGGUACC